rnacentral:misc_RNA from 1 species
UUUCCGUAGGUGAACCUGCGGAAGGAUCAUUAUUGUAUAACCGAGGUGCGAGGGCUGUCGCUGACCCGAAAGGUCGUGCACGCCCGAGUGCCCUCACACACAUCCAUCUCACCCCUAUGGGCAACACCGCGUGGGCCCCCCUUUGGCGUGGUCGGAGGGGGGCUUACGUUUUCACACAAACUUUGUAUGCAGUGUAGAAUGUAUUUUUUGUUUUUGCGAUCACGCAAUCAAUACAACUUUCAACAACGGAUCUCUUGGCUCUC